AAAAAUUUAGUUAAACCAUAACAUUAGCUUGUCAAGCUAAAAUUAUUCUUUUUAAAAUAAUUUUUA
rnacentral:tRNA from 1 species